rnacentral:RNase_P_RNA from 2 species
AUGGGUCGGCGGACGGUCGCGUCGCGGGGCGAGAGCCCCGCGCCGAGGAACGUCCGGGCUCCACAGAGCAGGGCGGUGGGUAACACCCACCCGGGGUGACCCGCGAGACAGUGCCACAGAGAACAGACCGCCGGAGGGGAACCUCCGGUAAGGGUGAAACGGUGGAGUAAGAGACCACCAGCGACCGGGGUGACCCGGCCGGCUAGGCAAACCUCGUCCGGAGCAAGGUCAGACAGGAAGCGUCGAGGUGGCUCGCCGAGCUUCCGGGUAGACCGCUGGAGGGCCGUGGCAACACGUCCCCGAGAGAGAUGGCCGUCACGGAGGAGACUCCGUACAGAACCCGGCGUACAGCCGGCCCAUUCAC